rnacentral:lncRNA from 1 species
ACAAGAUAAUUUAUACAAAUGAUUGAAUCCCCAUAUGAAAUCUACAAGACUCAUCAUUUCUCUCUGAUGAGGAGACAAGGUGUGGUAAGCCAUUUGUGUUGUAGUAAGCAAUGUUACAAAACAAGCUUUCAAACUCCUUCCCUGGAAGUCUUCAAGCCAUAUAAUCUCACCAGAUGGUUUUUCUUCUCUUCUCUUCUCUUCUCUUCUCUUCUCUUCUCUUCUCUUCUCUUCUCUUCUCUUCUCUUUCUAACCUGCAAAAUGGGAGUAGGUUAAAAUAGGUGGUAUCUUUAAUUAUAUAUAAGUAAAGAUUUAUUAUAUAUAUAUAUAUAUAUGUGUAGCUUUCUUCGGACACUCCAAAAGUGGGCAUCAGAUCUCAUUACAGAUGGUUGUGAGCCACCAUGUGGUUGCUGGGAAUUGAACUGAGGAACUCUGGAAGAGCAAUCAGUGCUCUUAACCACUGAGCCAUCUCUCCAGCCCCCUAAGAUAGAUAGAUAGAUAGAUAGAUAGAUAGAUAGAUAGAUAGAUAGAUAGAUACAUAGAAAGAAAGAAUAUGUAGAUAGAUAUAGACAUACAUACAUGUAUGUGAGUGUAUAUAUAUUAUAUAUUACAUAUUAUAUAUUGCAUAUUAUAUAUUACAUAUUUUAUAUUACAUAUUUUAUAUUAUAUAUGUAUUACAUAUUAUAUAUUAUAUGUGUGUUAUAUAUUAUAUAUGUAUUACAUAUUAUAUAUUAUAUGUAUAUAUUCAUUUGUCAAAGCAUGUCCAGCAUUAUGGAGUAAGGUAGAGGCAGAGCUGGGCCAUUUGUAAAGUGUUCUCUGUGAAUGCUACUACACACUAGAAGCAGUGUAUGUAACAAGAUCCAUAGACUGCUGCAGGUUCAAGAGACCCCGACCAACCUGAUGUGUAACUGCCUGGGACUUGAGACUUGUUUCUAAGCAACAGAACAUAAGGUAAAGCAGAUUUCCUUCAGACAUUCUAGCUCCACCUGGUUUCUCUAGUGCCUUCCUUGGAACACACUGCACCGUCAGGAAUGACCCCAGAAGGCCUUCAUUUGCCAAUCCGUUCAAUGCAAGGGCUCAUGGGUAAAGAAGAAGUUUAGCAAAAUGUUGCUAUUCCAAACGCUGGCAUUCACCAGAAACUAAAUGCAGUGACCUGGUCCUAACCAACUGCAUCUCGUCCUCUUCCAUUUUUUGUGUUUUCCGUGAUUUUAUCAGUUGACAUAUUAGCAAGUUCUUAAUACCUUUAACUUUCUGUGUGGACUUAGCCUUAAAAAAACAAGCCCAUUUUGCCUGGGUUUCAAAAAUGAUAGGUUAUCAGUCUUCCAAGACAGUGUUCCCGUGCCCUCUGCAGGGAGAAGCUGAACACCUAUUUCAUUUUCAUAAGUAAGAACCUGUCUUUAAGCAAAAAUUCACCACUGUUCUUAGGCUCCAACCACACAGUGGAUUCUCACCACCUUAAAUAUCUCAGUUAAGGUAUUUCCUAGAUUCCAGGUGUCAUAGUUAAGCAAGAAUGAUGGAAGAUUGCAGGCUAAGCAUGAACAUGAUGACCUCUGUGUUUCUAUGUCACCAAACUACAAAUUUGAAUAAGCAUGUGUUGACUCUAACAGAGUUAUUCUGACUUAGUGUGGUCAUGUUUGAAGACUAGCCAACAAUAAAGAUGUCUCCUUUUGCACUGACAUUCUGGUGGCCACUGUAAAGCUGUGUGUUCCAUAAAGCUCUGGGACUAUCAGGCGGUGUGUAAGUGUCCACUGACAGACAUCAGUUUCUCAGGGACUUGCCUGCUGGGCUGAAGGGAGCCAGUUGAGCUCAUGGGAAGACCUCACUUUGCCGCCCUCGCUGGUAGGAAUGAUGAGGUCAGGCUGGGUUUCAGAGAAGUGGGUUUUGUUUUGUUUUGUUUUCUUUUUUCUUUUCUUUUCUUUUUUUCAUUGCUGGGAUAAAAAUAAUCAGGAGUGGGAGUGGGUGGGUUGGAGAGCAGGGGGAGGAGUGAGGGGAUAGGGGAUUUUUGGAGAGGAAACCAGGAAAGGAGAUAGAUAGCAUUUGAGAUUUAAAUAAAGAAAAUACC